rnacentral:rRNA from 1 species
UACGAAGGGGGCUAGCGUUGCUCGAAAUGACUGGGCGUAAAGGGCGCGUAGGCGGAUGGUACAGUCAGAUGUGAAAUUCCCGGGCUCAACCUGGGGGCUGCAUUUGAUACGUGCUGUCUUGAGUUCGGAAGAGGGUCGUGGAAUUCCCAGUGUAGAGGUGAAAUUCGUAGAUAUUGGGAAGAACACCAGUGGCGAAGGCGGCUCACUGGACCGGUAUUGACGCUGAGGUGCGAAAGCGUGGGGAGCAAACAGG